AACGCACCUUGCGCUCCUUGGUAUUCCGAGGAGCAUGCCUGUUUGAGUGUCAUUGAAAUAUCAACCGUCUGGCCUCUGCUUGUCGACGGCUUGGAUGGUGGGAGUUGGUGCAGGCUUCUCUUUGUCUUUUAGAGAGAAUGUCAGCUCUCCUCAAAUGCAUUAGCGGAACCGGCAUGGGACCGUCUUUGGCGUGAUAAAUGAUUAUUAUUCCGCCGUGUGACCGUCUUUUACAACCAUGCGUGUCUUGGUUCAGCUUCUAAUGGUCCUUUGGUGGACAACACAAACAACACUUUUGACUUGACCUCAAAUCAGGCAGGACUACCCGCUGAACUUAA
rnacentral:misc_RNA from 1 species